ACUGCUCAGUAACACGUAGUCAACAUGCCCAGGGGACGUGGAUAACCUCGGGAAACUGAGGAUAAACCGCGAUAGGUCAUCACUUCUGGAAUGGGUAAUGACUUAAAUCUAUAUGGCCCCUGGAUUGGACUGCGGCCGAUCAGGCUGUUGGUGAGGUAAUGGCCCACCAAACCUGUAACCGGUACGGGCUCUGAGAGGAGGAGCCCGGAGAUGGGCACUGAGACAAGGGCCCAGGCCCUAUGGGGCGCAGCAGGCGCGAAACCUCUGCAAUAGGCGAAAGCUUGACAGGGUUACUCUGAGUGAUUUCCGUUAAGGAGAUCUUUUGGCACCUCUAAAAAUGGUGCAGAAUAAGGGGUGGGCAAGUCUGGUGUCAGCCGCCGCGGUAAUACCAGCACCCCGAGUGGUCGGGACGUUUAUUGGGCCUAAAGCAUCCGUAGCCGGUUCUACAAGUCUUCCGUUAAAUCCACCUGCUUAACAGAUGGGCUGCGGAAGAUACUAUAGAGCUAGGAGGCGGGAGAGGCAAGCGGUACUCGAUGGGUAGGGGUAAAAUCCGUUGAUCCAUUGAAGACCACCAGUGGCAAAGGCGGCUUGCCAGAACGCGCUCGACGGUGAGGGAUGAAAGCUGGGGGAGCAAACCGGAUUAGAUACCCGGGUAGUCCCAGCUGUAAACGAUGCAGACUCGGUGAUGAGUUGGCUUAUUGCUAACUCAGUGCCGCAGGGAAGCCGUUAAGUUUGCCGCCUGGGGAGUACGGUCGCAAGACUGAAACUUAAAGGAAUUGGCGGGGGAGCAC
rnacentral:rRNA from 1 species